rnacentral:rRNA from 1 species
GUGAGGAAUAUUGCUCAAUGGGCGCAAGCCUGAAGCAGCGACGCCGCGUGGGUGAAGAAGGAUUUCGGUCUGUAAAGCCCUUUUCUGCGUGACGAGAGUGGACGGUAGCGCAGGAAUAAGUCUCGGCUAACUACGUGCCAGCAGCCGCGGUAAAACGUAGGAGGCAAGCGUUAUCCGGAGUUACUGGGCGUAAAGCGCGUGUAGGCGGUUCAGUAAGUUACCUAUGAAAGCUCUUGGCUAAACUGGGAGAGGUUAGGUGAUACUGCUGGACUAGAGUGAAGAAGAGGAAGGUAGAAUUCCGCGUGUAGUGGUGAAAUGCGUAGAUAUGCGGAGGAAUACCAGUGGCGAAGGCGACCUUCUGGUCUUCAACUGACGCUCAGACGCGAAAGCAUGGGUAGCGAACGGGAUUAGAUACCCUUGUAGUCC